UUUUGUUUAUUUCAUUUUUAUUGCAAUUUUUCAUUUUAAGUAAUGUACACUAGAUAAAAUCAUCAUAAGUCAUACACAUGUUUCUUCAAUCACAUUAUUACAUGAACCAGAUUAACAUCUAAGUGUAGCAAAUGUAUUAAAUAGAAAGGUUAACAAUUUAGUGAAGUUUAUUUUUUAAUCUUCUGCAGCAGCACACAAUUGUUUUUUAAAUAUCCAUUAAUUCCCCCGGCCAAACAAAAAACAUUUCCUUCUUUUUCAUUAAGCUGCAACUAAAAAUGUUUUGUUAGGUUCAGCUCAGAGUCAUACACUUUAUAAUUGUAUUAACAAAUGAUUGUAAACUCUAUAUAAAUUAUAAACAGGUACAAUUAACUUUUGGUAAAUGAAUAAAGAACACAUUAAUAAUGUAAGACCAAUAGUAGUCCAAAAAUAGUCUAAUGUGAACAUAUACUUUUAGAGUUUCACAUUGUUGAUAUUAACACUUUUAUUGGUACACAAAUUAAAAAGUUAAACAAGAGCUUUUUUGCAACACAAAAUUUUAAAAUAAAAUGAGUACAUCUACAUUGCACCUGAUUUGAUUGCAAAC